rnacentral:rRNA from 1 species
ACGAAGGUGGCAAGCGUUGUUCGGAUUUACUGGGCGUACAGGGAGCGUAGGCGGUUCGGUAAGCCCUCUGUGAAAUCUCCAGGCUUAACCUGGAAUAGUCGGAGGGGACUGCCGGGCUAGAGGACGGGAGAGGAGCGCGGAAUUCCCGGUGUAGCGGUGUAAUGCGUAGAGAUCGGGAGGAACACCGAUGGCGAAGGCAGCCUUCUGGGCCAACACUGACGCUCAUGCACGAAAGCGUGGGGAGCAAACAGGA